AUUGAACGCUGGCGGCAGGCUUAACACAUGCAAGUCGAACGAGUGGCGGACGGGUGAGUAAUGCUUGGGAAUCUAGCUUAUGGCGGGGGAUAACUACGGGAAACUGUAGCUAAUACCGCGUACCAUCGGCUGGGCCCAAGUGGGAUUAGGUAGUUGGUGGGGUAAAGGCUCACCAAGCCGACGAUCCCUAGCUGGUUUGAGAGGAUGACCAGCCACACUGGGACUGAGACACGGCCCAGACUCCUACGGGAGGCAGCAGUGGGGAAUAUUGGGCAAUGGGGGCAACCUGACGCAGCCAUGCCGCGUGAAUGAAGAAGGCCUUCGGGUUGUAAAGUUCUUUCGGUAGAGAGGCGUUAACUGCAGAAGAAGCACCGGCUAACUCCGUGCCAGCAGCCGCGGUAAUUC
rnacentral:rRNA from 1 species